rnacentral:rRNA from 1 species
UGACUUAGCGGCGGACAGGUGAGUAACGCGUGGGUGACUUGCCUCAUACAGGGGGAUAUCAGACAGAAAUGUUUGGUAAUUCCGCAUAAGCGCACAGUGUUGCAUGGCACAGUGGAAAAAAUUCCGGUGGUAUGAGAUGGACCCGCGUCUGAUUAGUUAGUUGGUAAGGUAACGGCUUACCAAGGCGGCGAUCAGUAGCCGGCGUGAGAGGGUGAACGGCCACAUGGGGAGUGAGACACGGCCCAAACUCCUACGGGAGGCAGCAGUGGGGAAUAUUUCACAGAGGGGGUAACCCGGAUGCGGCGAGGCCGCGUGAAGGAAGAAGUAUUUUGGUAUGUAAAGUUCUAUCAGCAGGGAAGAAAAUGACGGUCCCAGAAUAAGAAGCCCCGGUUAACUGCGUGCCAGCGUCUGCGGUAAUACGUAGGGGGCAAUCGUUAUCUCGGAUUUGGUGGGGGAAAAGGGGGGGUAGGGGGCAUAGAAAGUAUGGGAAGAAAGGCAGGGGCUCAACCCGUAGUCUGCAUUGAAAACUUCCAGGCUGGAGAGCAGAGGAGGUAAGUGGAAUUCGUGAGUGUAGUGGUGAAAGGCGUAGAUGGUAGGAGGAACGCCGUUGGAGAAGGCAACUUACCUGACUGUAACUGAGGUUGGGGCUAGAAAGCGUGGGGAGCAAACGAGAUUAGAUCCCGUGGUAGUCCACGCGGUAAAGGAUGAAUACUAGGUGUCGGGGAUCAAAGCUCUUUGGUGCCGCAGCUAACGCAAUAAGUAUCCCCCCAGGGGAGUACGUUCGCAAGAAUGAAACUCAAAGGAAUUGACG